GGUGCGCUGUAGGAUAAUAAGCGCCGUGACUUUGUGCUUGAGCUGGCGAGAUACUCAAACCGAGAAUCAAUUGUCGACUCAACUGACAUUAGAACAAUAUUGAAGAUACGAUUAUGCCGCUGAAAAGGGCGCUGGUGCCAACUGGGUCUACAAGCCGGGAUAAUUUGAAAUUGUGUUUUCUGGAAAAAAAAAACCCAAAAACUUCGGCGGGAAUACACCUGCUAGCAUUAGCUUUGCCCCGGGAGACGAUGCUAGCUCUGCUACGCGACCUGAUGCUGCUGAAUGUGGAGACACAGUGGAGGUAGAGAAACUCUUGGUUAUUUCCAAGAAAUGAGAAUGGUAUUGUGGAUGUCUUGUCUGCAAGGAAGCCAAGACUCGCCGAAAACGAGUCCACCUCAGCACCUUUGCCCUUCCGUCUGACUGCCACUCGUCUGAACUCCUCCGGCUCUCUACUGCUGUUGAGAGUCAGACUGUUCCUCUUCUUCAGGUCAAACAUUGUUCAUCAGCAAACAACAAAAACAAAACACAGAAGACUGAGGCUCCACUGUCCUCACGCCGUUGCACUGAUUCACGUGCCUCAAUCAGCGCCACUAAUCUGCGCGCAGCUGUUCGAGCGCUGCCUCUGAUUGACAGCCGCACGCACCCAAUCAAAUCACACGCUCACCCCUGACGGAGCUGUGACGGUGGAAAAUCAAUGGUCUAAUCUCUACCACCCAUUUUUGACCUGUGAUCUGUGGCAAGAUAAGCUAUGGUAAGAUGAGGUUGAAUUUUCACGCAGGCUUUUACAGUAAAAAGCCAGUGAUACAAUGACUCAGAAAUAAUGUAAAGAUUAUCAUUUGGCAUAUUUUAUAUAAAUGUAGAUAGUUUUAUUGUGGAAAAAUAGUUUCACACUUUUUUAUGAAAAUCAUUUCUGUAUAUGUUAUUAUUUUUUCUCCCACCACCCAGAAGGACCAAAAUGCCCACUGACAAGGGCUGACUAUCAUUCUGAAAUGUCUCUCCUUGUGUUUAUCAAACAGAGAGAUGAUGUUGUAAACAAUUUAACUGUUAACCUGUAAUCUUUUCCUGUAUAAUAAAUGGAAAUAUCAAGUUAA